CUGCUCUACCAGCUGAGCUAUCCCGACCAUUUCCGACACACCGUUCUCAUCUUACUAGAUGACUUGGGUCUAUGUCAAUUAAAAAAUAAACAGGGAUUAAAAGUCUUGGGAGGGGAAUUUCAUUUCUUGAAUCAUCAAAAAGAAGACUUUGUAAGUUUCAGUAUGAGCAAUAAUAUGGAUUGGGAAUCAUUAAAACGGGGAUUCCUUGCUCAAAGGUGUUCAUUUCUACAUAUAUCGUAUAGACCAUACGGCUUGUGAUAAGAGAAAAAAAUUCUGCCCAUAUCCUUUUGGAAAUGGAAAAGAGUAGGAUAGAUGAGAAACCUACCGACUUUUGAACCACUAACAAAAAAAGGAGAAGGUAGGAGAAAUGGUUAGGGAGUCAAUAGGCCUUUUUUGGGGUGGGGAUAGAGGGACUUGAACCCUCACGAUUUCUAAAGUCGACGGAUUUUCCUUUUACUCUAAAUUUCAUUGUUGCCCGUAUUGAUAUUGACAUGUAGAAUGGGACUCUAUCUUUAUUCUCGUCCGAUUAAUCAGUUCUUCAAAAGUCAAAAGAAAGGAUCGAUCAGACCAUGGAGGUGGAGUGAAUGAUUUGAGCCGGGAAUAUUCGAUUCUUUCUUCAACUUAGAAUCGAUUCAUAACAAUAACAAUUCUUUUCUUUUUCAUAAAAAGAAAUACGUAUUUGGUUGUGAUUUUUGAGUUAGUUUUUCGCUGCGUAUACAUAGUCUAUAUACCCUUAUCCUUCAUCCUUUAUCGAGUUUCGAUAUUCGAUAGAAGCAUUCAUUUGACUUUCUUUUUUCUUUACCAAAAAGGGCAGUCAACUCCAUUUGUUAGAACAGCUUCCAUUGAGUCUCUGCACCUAUCCCCCUUUUUCGCUUUCUGAACCCCUGUUUGUUCUUGGAAAAGAGAAGAGGAUUUGGCUCAGGAUUACCCAUUUUUAAUUCCUGGGUUUCUCUGAAUUUGAAAGUUAUCACUUAGUAAGUUUCCAUACUAAGGCUCAAUCCAAUUAAGUCCGUAGCGUCUACCAAUUUCGCCAUAUCCCCUUUGUGUUUUAGGAACUCAAUGCUGUUCCCCCUUUCUUUCAUUUCUGCGGAAACAGUAGAAUUCCGUAGAUAUGGAUUUAUAUAUAUCGAAAGGUGUUUUGCUUUCUUGUCAGAAAUGAUUCUAUCUUUUCUGUAUCCGCAAUUCAAUAUAGAUGGAUAUAAACUACCAUAAAAUAUAUAUGCCCCCUUACUCUCAUUUUUUUCGUGCAAUCCGGCGGAAUACUCGAACGGUCGAUUUAUUUUUUCGUUUUUUCUUACGCCCCUUUUCGAAUGAAAACAAAAAUGUCUCAUUCUAAUCCAGAUUCCAUUUAGCGGGAUUGUAUCUUUCUCUUUCAUUUCAUUUUCUAUUUAUACUUGCCCUUUCCUUAAGGAAGAACCUAUAUAACAUAACCAAAAAUAACUCAAAUUCCAAUUUCAAUUUAUUAAAUAAAAAUAAAUCAUUUUUAUUAAUCAUUUAGAAUAUAAUAGCUAGACCUAAUCAAUAGAAUAGCUAUAACUACUCAGUCAAUUAAAUUAGAAUUCGAAGAUAAUUCUAAUUAUUUAGUCUAAAGCCUAAUUAUUUCGAAUUAGAAUAGAGCAAAUUUAGAAUUUCGAAAAUGGAUAAUAAGAAUCGAAUAUAAUAUUCGAUUUAGAAUAACUAAAUAUAUAUAGAAUAUAGAAUAAUAAUCGAAUAUUAUGUAUAUUCUAUAAUAUAGAAUAAUCGAAUAGAAUAUAUUAAGAAUCUUAGGUUAGAAACAAAAAAAUAAUUUUAAAUGUCUUGAAUUCAAAAAUGAAAAAAAAAAAAUAAUAAAUAAAUCAAAUCGUAUUUUAUUAUCUAAUUAAGAGUAAGAUAUUUAUUGUUGAUCAAUAUAGAAUUGAUAAAAAAAUCCAAAUUCGCUAAUAUAUAUCAUCACUAGAUUCUCGUAAUUGUUAGAUUAAUCGUUAUGUUCUAUAUCUAUAGUAUUCAACAUUUAUUUGAAAUUCGAUUCUCUAUUUUAUUCUUUAUGAAUAGCUAAGAAUAAAAGGUUAAUAGAUAAGAUCCUAGGAUCCCUACGCAUGUACAAUUUCUCUUAUUUAAGCCCGCUUAGCUCAGAGGUUAGAGCAUCGCAUUUGUAAUGCGAUGGUCAUCGGUUCGAUUCCGAUAGCCGGCUUUUCUCUAUUUGUUUGAUUUUUUACAUGAUUGAUAAUGUCUUUUUGAAAGAAAAGAACAUUGAAAAGGCUUCUUCCAAGGAUCAUCGAUCCAGUAUGUUGUAGGAGCUUCCAAUUAUGAAUAAAAGUUGGAGGAAGUUCGAUUUCGGCAGAAUAAAUCAAGAAAAGGAACCCUCUUUUGAUUUAUAUUUCUAUAUGCGUAUACAAUACAAAAAGGGGUCUGGAAUUUGAUACAAAUCAUCUUAGUAUUCUUUGUAGUACAAUACUUCAGCGGAUUUUGCUUCAUUUAUCAUGUAGCUCAGUUUUAAUUUAGGUUUAUGAAAUUCAAUAAAAUAAGGAGUCUUUAUGUCACGUUACCGAGGGCCUCGUUUCAAAAAAAUACGCCGUCUGGGGCUUUGCCGGGACUAACGAGUAAAAGGCCUAGAGCCGGAAGCGAUUUUAGAAACCAAUUGCGCUCCGUAAAAAAAUCUCAAUAUCGAAUUCGUUUAGAAGAAAAACAAAAAUUGCGUUUUCAUUAUGGUCUUACAGAACGACAAUUACUUAAAUAUGUUCGUAUCGCCAGAAAAGCCAAAGGGUCAACCGGUCUGGUUUUACUACAAUUACUUGAAAUGCGUUUGGAUAACAUUCUUUUUCGAUUGGGUAUGGCUUCAACUAUUCCUCAAGCCCGCCAAUUGGUUAACCAUCGACAUAUUUUAGUUAAUGGUCGUAUAGUCGAUAUACCAAGUUAUCGUUGCAAACCCCGAGAUAUUAUUACAGUAAGGGAUGACCCAAAAUCUAGAUCUCUGGUUCAAAAUUAUCUUGAUUCAUCCCACCAUGAGGAAUUGCCAAAGCAUUUGACUCUUCGCGCAUUCCAAUAUAAAGGAUUAGUCAAUCAAAUAAUAGAUAGUCAAUGGGUCGGUUUGAAAAUAAAUGAAUUGCUUGUCGUAGAAUAUUAUUCUCGUCAAACUUAAACCUAACUAAAAUAACGGGCUCGUACAAAUUUACCCUUUCACCUAACUUAAGGAAAGGGAUACAAGGUAAGGAGUUUGAUCCGUGGAGUUUUUUUUUAUCCCAUUCAUGUAUCAUAGAUCCGAGGGUAGAUUUUUAUCCCCUGCCUGCCCCUUCCCUUUCUUUCCCGUAGGAAUUGAGAAUCUAGCUCAAAAAAAGGUCUGACUGCUUCGGUAUUCAUUCUUUUUUGCUUGGAUACAUUCCGGUCAGUAACAUUGAUGAAUUAGUUCAAGGUACGGAAAGAGAGGGAUUCGAACCCCCGGUAAACAAAAGUCUACAUAGCAGUUCCAAUGCUACGCCUUGAACCACUCGGCCAUCUCUCCUACACAAUGAUUAUGACCGAGAACCCGCGUGAAUAGCGAGUUGUUCAAAUUCGAUUGGUAGAUGGGUACGGACAAUCGAAUCCGUUCUAACUAGAAAAAUAGAAACCCUUUCAGCAAAGAAAAAAUUCUUCCUUUGAGUCUGGGGAAAAGGAUAACUUUUUUGUUUGUGAAAAACUGUUCAAAACAAAAAACAAUAAGGCUAUAUAUCUUGUUUGCAAAGAUGGCGCUCCUUUUUUUUUUUUUUUCUGAUAUUUCUACCUGAUUUAAUCAAUGAGUUGGAACGAAUCAACGGAUCGGUCUAUUUUUUUUUUUAUUUUUUUUAACACGUCUGCUUUUAUGUUAUUUUGUACUGUACAAUUCCUUUGUUUGUGGGAUCAUUUUCUCACAAGAGGUAAUGAAACGAAUUAUAGAAUGGAUUUUUACCUAUGCCUAGAUCGCGGAUAAACGGAAAUUUUAUUGAUAAGACCUUUUCGAUUGUAGCCAAUAUAUUAUUACGAAUAAUUCCGACAACUGUAGGAGAAAAAGAGGCAUUUACCUAUUACAGAGAUGGUGCGAUUUGAUUAGUUUUUUAUUUACCCCUUUCGGUCUUAGAAGAAAGAAAGACAAUUCGGGAUAGAAAAAAAAAAAAAAAAGAUUAUUGAAAAAAUCUACGCUUGUUGAAGGUGAAGUUUAUAGAUAAAACCAUUCCUUCUGUCGUGUAUCCCCGAUUAAUGCAGCCUCAGAUGCUUCAAUUGUCGAUUCUAGUAUUGAGCGAAAGGUUACACCUAUGGGUUCUGUAUUGCAAGUCAACCCUACUACACCAGUACCAAUAGGCGGCAUAGGGGAAGAGGCGCUACGUCUAGGAAUCAGCAACACGAAAACUUUGUUAUAAGCUGCCCCCUUUCCUUAGCGGGAUCGGGACUAAGAAGAAUGGUUGGGAUAACAAACAUCCAUCUCGUUCGUACUGUGGAUACCCGUAUAACCAUCGAAGACUGUUGAAGUGAUUAAUUCCUGUAAAUUAAGGGGCGUUGAGAACAAAGAAAUUGUUGGAGUUUCCGGUUUUAUCUAGUACCAACACGCGUGAUAUUAAGAAAAAAGCUUUUGCAGGAAGGUUGGCUAGAGAUUUCUUGUAAAAACAUUAGCCCCACUUAGUUCAUAAUGAGAAUAUUUCAAUCUUUUUUGAUUUCAUGGAUUAUUCUCAUAAUGCACAUAAAGGAGGAGCCGUAUGAGAUUUUCAUCUCAUGUACGGUUUUGAAACGGAGAAUUCUUUGAAUCGAAUGACGACCGUAACGGAUGUCAGCUCAAUCUGAAGGCAAUUAUGCGGAAGCUUUACAGAAUUAUUAUGAAGCUAUGCGACUAGAAAUUGAUCCUUACGAUCGAAGCUAUAUACUCUAUAACAUAGGCCUUAUCCACACAAGUAACGGAGAACAUACAAAAGCUUUAGAAUAUUAUUUUCGGGCACUAGAACGAAAUCCGUUCUUACCACAAGCUUUUAAUAAUAUGGCUGUGAUCUGUCAUUACGUGCGACUAUCUCUACUAUAGAAAGAAAAAAGUAAAAGAAAAAAAAAAGGAGGGGGGGUAAAGAGCAAAUACACUAAUAAAUACUCGAAAAAAAAAAAAUAGGCUUUCUACAUAUGCAUCGUGCAAAAACGAUUUUUAUCAGCUGUAGCAAAGAAAGAAACUUCAUAGAAGUCGAAAUAUGAAGAAAUCGAUAUGCCUAGAUAGUUUAUUCUAUGGAUAAAGGAUCUAAUUGAUAGAGGAAGCACCGUAAAGAUCAAUUCGCGAGGUUUUGGGCCGAUGCCGAUCCAAUAAGAACUGCUUAUUUAUGUCAUGAUAUGAGAUAAAAGUAAGGAAUCCACUUAUGUAAUAAAGUCGAUCCCCUAAGGUAUUGAGCAGCGGUGUAGCAUCAGAUCCCAAAGACAGUAAGCCUUUUCUUUCUUAGGAAGAAAGGGCUUUUUCAAAGAUUCUAUAUCAAUUUUUAUAUGAAACCGAGAUAGAUA
rnacentral:lncRNA from 1 species